rnacentral:lncRNA from 1 species
CACUGGAAGACACAGGCAUUUCAAUUUCAAUGCUAUCUAUCACCCUGACCCUAACCCUAACCCUAGCCCUAACCCUACCCGAAUCCUAAGUCAUCCUCAGGUACCGCUAUUUCCUCACUAUUCAUGACCCUUACGAAAAGAAGAACCCUAACCCUAACAAUCAUACCCACACUCCAAACGUCAGGUACAUGAAUUGGAACCCUAAACCUAAACCUACUCCUAAGCCUUACACUAACCCUAAGCCGCAGGACCAAAUCACAAUACCCAGGUGCUUGACAUUUGACAUUAUCCUUCCCCCCUCCUCGAGAUCUUACGCUAUUACUAACUUUCCAACCCACACUGGAAGACACAGGCAUUUCAAUUUCAAUGCUAUCUAUCACCCUGACCCUAACCCUAACCCUAGCCCUAACCCUACCCGAACAAUAAGUCAUCCUCAGGUACCGCUAUUUCUGCACUAUCCAUGACCCUUAUGAAAAGAAGAACCCUAACCCUAACAAUCAUACCCACACUCCAAACGUCAGGUACAUGAAUUGGAACCCUAAACCUAAACCUACUCCUAACCCUAACCCUAACCCUAAGCCGCAGGACCAAAUCACAAUACCCAGGUGCUUGACAUUUGACAUUAUCCCUCACACUCCUGAAGGACUUAUGGUAUUACUAACUUUCCAACCCACACUGGAAGACACAGGCAUUUCAAUUUCAAUGCUAUCUAUCACCCUGACCCUAACCCUAACCCUAGC